CCCUGUAUCGAAAGUGAUCGAGGCAUCUUUGUAGCCAGGUCAUUGAUAGUACAGGAAGAAGAAACUGCGAGCCUUUCCCGUGUUUGAAGGAUUGUCUGUUCCUCUCAAACCCUGGUGCUCCCAGACA
rnacentral:snoRNA from 1 species